rnacentral:lncRNA from 1 species
GACAUGAUUCAUACCAUCUGUUGAAGCUUUACAACCAAGAAAAAAAUCGAAAGGCUUUUGUCAAGGAGGGGAGGGGGAAUGAAAUAAUAAAAUUAUUUGAAAUAAUUGAAGCUAGCUUUAAGGCUUAUCGAACUCCUGCUGCCUGAAAGAACAAAGAAAGAAAUAAACAAAAGCCGUCAAUCGCUCUGUUCGUCCCACUUCACAUUCAGUGUGACAACAUGCGUGCACAUGCCAAGCGACAUGGUCGUCGCCUCUCCAGCUACAGGGCAGCGCAUCGAUAUCUGGCGCUGGAUCAUCGAUUUUACCCCGCGCUUGGGAGGAGGAGGAGGAGAGAGGAGAUGGGGAGGUAGAUGAGAUCCUCUCUCCGGCAACGCGAGCUUUGCUUGCCAUGUCCUCCUUCCACAGCGUGGAAACGAACCCACGCCACUACCGCCGCGGGACAGGGGCAGUUAGUCCCACACUGCGACCUCCUUCUUGAACGGUCAUUUGCCCCCAGCAAAGCCCACUACUCCUCCCUCCUGGCAUGACGUCACGCUACUGGUGGUGCUGUCGCUCGGUUCUCUUCUGGUUCUUCGUGUCACCCGGGGUGCCCGCGUGCGCAGCUUCCUCCUGGUGUUUACCGUCUGGCGUGGGGUGUAUCCUGGGAACAGAGCGGUUAGUGACUGUGUCGGAGGGACAGCCGCGUGGAAUCUGGAACCCAGGGGCUGGUGCUCGUGGUUCUGUCCCCAUGAUAGCUGCCUGUCACACCUACGUCCCGUCGCCAACUUCACGUUGGAGGAUACGUCAAGGUCGGCCUGCGCCUCUCGGCUUUAGUCGGUGAACGAGCCUUCACGUGCAACCGCCUCCAUUCUUGACUGUCUUUGAAGUAAAGCUCUCGGCGUCUCGGAUGACUGAUGGAAUGAAGCAUGGCCACAUAGAGAUGAAGACAUGAUGUCCUUUGGGGAGAAUGGGCACGGGAGUUAACUGCAGCACUACUUUAGACAACGGCACGCUCGUCUCGCAGCUUUGCACCUAUUGCUGUAAGCCCUUCCUCCUCCUCCACUGCUUCCCUCGUCUGCUCCGACAGCGCGUGCUCUGCGUCUAGUCCCGAGGCUGCAACGGACGUCAACGACAUCUCCGCCUACACAUUCUGGCUCAUCCUGGCCGGGGCCUCAGCCUUUACUAUCGUUGUUCUCGUCGUCUCAUACGCUGUGUGUCGUUUCCGACGACCCGGAUGUGCAGACGUAAGUUUGGCGCAAGAACGCUUCCUCGUGGAGAAUGUCCUGGGGGCUCAAGGUCGGACCCGGAGCCACACGGUUCUUAAGUCGUCUGCUUCCGAUGCCACGACGACAGCGCCCUCUCCAACGUCAGCCAGUCCAGACCUACUGCUGGAGGCCCCGCUUACCAAGGGGCGGCCACCAGGAAAGGAACCAGGGCCGGGGCCCGUGGAGCUCCCCGCAGCUCUGCCGUGAACAAGGCCUUCCUGAUGGGCGCCGAAGCCUUCUCGCGGAUCCCCGUCCACGUCACUCGAGCGGGGCUGGCAGGGCGCAUGCGCGUCGGGGGGGAGACUGACGUCAGUAUGGUGUCACCACGACUAGUCCAUGUUGGGGGAGUGACCCCCAGAGUGACCCCCAGAGUGACCCCCAGAGUUCCUUUGAAAGACAAGGGCAAAACAGAGUCACGGCAGACGAUUAUCUCCGAAAACGAUGAAAGACUAACUGCUGUGGGCACGUAGCAAAGCGCCCUCUGACUGUGACGUAACAGAUUUCUCUGGCUCUCACGUGGCAGAGCGUUGUUUGGCCGUGACGUAACAACACUGCCGCUGUCACGUAACAGAACGUUAUCCGAUCGUCACGUAGCAAAGUGGCCCUCAUGUAGCGACUGUUACUGAAGACCACUUCUUCCCGAGCAGGUAAAACGUACCACCUGAUUAAUAUUUCUUUUAGCUGGCUACGUGAAUUUUAUGGAGAGUGGCCAACUGGGAAACGUAGAUGUUGUACGUACUGACGUCAUGACUCUACACAUUUUUUAUACAAAUUUCGUGAACUUUCCCUACAUUGUACUCACGUGGUCAUCGUCAUUGCCAUUGUCUGAGAGAAGGGUCACGCUAAAGUUCAAAUACCAGAUACAGUUUCUGUUCAUAAGAUAUGUUUCUGCUAAAAACUCAGAAACGAACUGCGAGAGCUGUUUACUUGUGGGUAUGUAGGUGUGGGGACGGGCCGUAGGUCUGAAUCACGUGUAGAUACAAUAGAUACUUUCCUUGAAGCCUUCUUUUGACUGGGUCUGCAAAUAUCCAGAAUAAAAUGGCAUUGGAGCAGGGGAUACGGUAAGUGUGUGUGCAUAUAUAUGGACAUGAUGGCCUAGUAUAAGGCAAACAACAUCCAUAUAAUGACAUUUUCACAUACGUUGUGUCCAACAAGUGUAGAUGUGUGUGUGGUGUGUGUUCAUCUUUAGCAACUCGAAAAGCAACAAACCAAAAAUAAAAUCUUUGCCUUUUAGACCCAUUCUGACAGUAUUUCGGACACAGGUAUCGACAAAAACAAGACGCGAGGCAGAUUCGAGCAUCUGAAAUAAUAUAACAAUAUUGCCUCACCAACCCUUUAAUAUUCUUCCUUCCGAUGUAAAAACCUCUAAUGACAAUGUCGGAUGUAGGUGGACAUGAACAUUCCCGGUUUUCCCUUCAGCCGUGAGUACAGUCCUGAGGAAAAUGAAUGAAAGCAGCUUUAUAGUAAUAUCAUCAUGCAAGUCAGAGCUCAGAUGAUUGUUUUGAAUCGUCUGCCAUGUUUUGCGCAUGAACCGAUCAUUCUACACAAUCCAAGCUGUGAAUAUUAAGGGCUGGGUAGGAAGUUCAUAAUGCAGUCUAACAACUGAAGGAUUUGCUGUAAAAUAUUCUAGAAAGGAACAGCAAUCAUAUUUGUAAGAAACCAACUCAUAAAGAAGCUGUUACUCUUAAAUACUCACAAGAGCCCAUCCCUUCUUU